GACAGAGGCCCCAAGCGUUACCCGGAAUCACUGGGCGUAAAGGGUGUGUAGGUGGUUUUGUUAGUCCUCCGUUAAACCCCCGAGCUCAACUCGGGAUCUGCGAAGGAAACGGCAAGACUUCGAGAAUGCAAGAGGUAUAUGGAACUCAUGGUGUAGGGGUGAAAUCCGUUGAUAUCAUGGGGAACACCAAAAGCGAAGGCAGUAUACUGGUGCAUUUCUGACACUGAGACACGAAAGCGUGGGUA
rnacentral:rRNA from 1 species